GCUUACGGCCAUACCAGCCUGAUUACGCCCGAUCUCGUCCGAUCUCGGAAGCCAAGCAGGGUCGGGCCUGGUUAGUACUUGGAUAGGUGACUACCUAGGAAUACCAGGUGCUGUAAGCUU
rnacentral:rRNA from 1 species